rnacentral:rRNA from 1 species
UGCGGAGGGAUCAUGGUCG